rnacentral:piRNA from 2 species
UGCUUUAAGUUGGAUAGCUGUCUUUACAAA